CCCAAGUCGUGACCUAAAGUCACAUAACCCCCAUCACCCCCAAUUUCGAAACCUAGCUUCUCUCGCUCUCUUCUCUCAGUCUCGCCCUCGCAGAGUCGCAAUCUUACAGUCGCUCUCUGCUGCUCUUAGUCUUGCCCUCGCAGUCGCUCUCUGCUGCUCUCAAUCUCGCCCUCGCAGUCGCAAAGUCGCAAUCCCACCAGCCACCAACACCCGAAGCCUUCUUCCCAGUUCCCAGCGAGCACCAACCCAGCAGGCAGCAGCGUUCUCUUCCCAGCAACGCCCAGCGUCGCCAGCGAGCACCGACCCACCGACCCAGGAAUGUUCUUCCCAGCAGCGCCGAGCCACCGACCUCAGUUUCCACCGAGCCUCCAUCGUCUUCUGUAAUGGAGGCUAAGCGGCUAUGCCUCAUGUUUGGGAAAUUGCUUCUGAUUGCUGGAUCACUGGUUCAGUGAGUUUCUCUCCAUGCAUCAAUCCUAGACCACAUGUUUCACUGGUUCAGUUCAUAUUGUAGGUUCAUAUUUGUUCACUAGUUUGAAAUUGAUAUAAAGCAAAUCAUGAAUAGUGGUUCUUGCUACAGGAGUCAGGUUUGGUCAUAGUAUGAGGGAUAAUAUUGGUGAAAGUGAAGGUGGAACUGAUGGAGUGGUGGACAUGUAAUGCUCCUCCAAACAAAUCUGCAAAUAUAAGAUCACCAACAAAAUGAUUGAUUGAAUCAUUUUUUUUCACUAAUCUAGUUUUUUUUAUAAAUAUUAUUUGUUAUGAUUGUUCCUUGUUUUAUAGAAGUUGCAUCCACUCCUAUCCUUUUUUAUAUGUUUUAUAUGAUUCUUUUUUUUUUAAUUUUUUAUCAUUGUGAAUUUAUGAUGAGCUAUGUGCUCAUAUUGUUCAUUGUUUUUGUCUGAAUUAAUUAAAAACACGAACAAACCGAACCAAACCGAACCGAUUUUACUUGGUUUAGUUUGGUUUGGAUGGUCUUGGAAAAAAACUGAACAAAAUCGAACUGCAGUUUUAAUAAA